GACGAACCGUGCGAACGUUGUUCGGAAUCACUGGGCUUAAAGGGCGCGUAGGCGGGUGUGCAAGUCUGUGGUGAAAGCCUCCAGCUUAACUGGAGAAGUGCCAUGGAUACUGCACAUCUUGAGGAGGGUAGGGGCAUCUGGAACGGUCGGUGGAGCGGUGAAAUGCGUUGAUAUCGACCGGAACUCCGGGGGCGAAGGCGAGGUGCUGGACCCUUUCUGACGCUGAGGCGCGGAAGCCAGGGGAGCAAACGGG
rnacentral:rRNA from 1 species